rnacentral:rRNA from 1 species
ACCUACGGGGCGCAGCAGUGAGGAAUAUUGGUCAAUGGGAGAGAUCCUGAACCAGCCAAGCCGCGUGAGGGAAGACGGCCCUAUGGGUUGUAAACCUCUUUUGUCGGAGAACAAAACCCGGGACGAGUCCCGGACUGCGUGUAUCCGAAGAAAAAGCAUCGGCUAACUCCGUGCCAGCAGCCGCGGUAAUACGGAGGAUGCGAGCGUUAUCCGGAUUUAUUGGGUUUAAAGGGUGCGCAGGCGGGAGAUCAAGGCAGCGGUAAAAUGUCGGGGCUCAACCCCGGCCGGCCGGUGAAACUGGUUUU